GAUGAACGCUGGCGGCGUGCCUAAUACAUGCAAGUCGAACGCUGGAGAUCUAGCUUGCUAGAUCGAAGGAGUGGCGAACGGGUGAGUAAUACAUAAGCAACCUACCCACGAAGACUGGGAUAAUCUCUGGAAACGGGGACUAAUACCGGAUAGGUAAUCGGAAGGCAUCUUCUGGUUAUUAAAGGUUAAAAACACUGGUGGAUGGGCUUAUGGCGCAUUAGUUAGUUGGUGAGGUAACGGCCCACCAAGACGAUGAUGCGUAGCCGGCCUGAGAGGGUGAACGGCCACAUUGGGACUGAGACACGGCCCAGACUCCUACGGGAGGCAGCAGUAGGGAAGUUUCGGCAAUGGGGGCAACCCUGACCGAGCAACGCCGCGUGAGUGAAGACGGCCUUCGGGUUGUAAAGCUCUGUUGUAAGGGAAGAACGGUAGAUAGAGAAUAUCUAAGUGACGGUACCUUACCAGAAAGCCACGGCUAACUACGUG
rnacentral:rRNA from 1 species